CUCCCCGAGGGCUUCGCCAGCCCUCCUUUCUCCUCACGCAUUUACACCACUGCACUGAUGCAUGCUGGAAUUGAUAACACGGACACCUUCUCUUAUCUUGCCUUACCGUAGUCUUUUGAGUAGGAGUCCUUUGUUACCGAACUGGCAAGGAGCAAAGGAAUGUCACAGACCCAAAUGCGUUUUUAAGAUGCUUUCACCAAAUGUUUGACAGCUGCUGGCCUGAUGAAUUUGAUCGAUGAUGUGUUGAAACCAGUACAAGGUUGUUGCUGAGGGGACGGGUGUUGCUGCCGUGGUGACAGUAAGAAGCAAUGCAUUGCGCUGAUAGAUGGCCGAGAGAAACAGGAAGCAGUGGCCAACUCCUGCAGACACUAGGAACGCUUCAUGGUCCAGUGAUGAAUUGCAAAUAGAGGAUCAGAGUCUGGCACAUGAAAGUGAUUGAGAGGAGGGAAGGAGGGGGAAAGAGACAAAGAGAGUGAGAGAGAUUCCCUUUAUGCUCACUGUGUCAGGCCUCAGUCUUUGACUUCGGUCUGGACUAAUGAUCGGUCUGAUAUGGGCAAGUAAUUGGUGUCUAGGGAUGUUAGACUACAAUGUCUUAUACAUAACGUAAUAGGCAGCCCAGUAUAGGCUGCAAUAUUUAGUCAGGAAGGAGAUGCACGCAUACCGUGAAAGGCAAUUAAAACUAAGGGAGUGACAUUCGGGUGAUGCACUGCCCAAUUACGAGGGCAGGACUGGGCAAGCAAUUACAAUCGUUUUUGGCAGAAGCAUAUGUAGUUUUAUUCUCUGCUUAAGUUUGAUGAUGAGAUGGCUUGUGUUUUGUACAAAUAUUAAAAGUAAUGACUCAUGAAC